rnacentral:lncRNA from 10 species
CGUGGGCAUAACAUCGGUCUGCCUUAUUCCUUGUGGUAUCCUGGAUGUCGAACAUAACACCUGGCACCUGGUGGGCAAUGAUUAAAUAUUUGUGGAAAGAAUGGGCAAAAUAAAAGAGUAAAAAAAAAUGAGUGCAAGAUACAGUGAAGUGAUGUGGCAAUAUUGCUAACUUUUAAAAAUAUUGUCAAAGAGAUACUGAGUUCGAGGAAGAGUGUGCUGAGAAUUGUGGAGCAACAACAUUGAAAGAUCCUGGGCCUGUGGCAUUGUGAUGAGCCGUUGCAGCCCUGCAAAAGAAUUAUGCUAAAUCUACUCUUCCUACUAAAUGCUAAAUCUACUCUGAAUUUGCACACUUAAUAGACUACAGUGUAGUGUAAGCAUAACUUCUAUAUGCACUGGGAAACCCCAAAAUUCUUGAGACUUGAUUUAUUCCAAAAUUUGCAAUAAGUAGGGAUCUAGAGCCAAAUCCGCAAUAUCUCCAAGGUAUGCCUGUAUCUACCUAUUUUGAUAAUUUCAUUUGUUUGGUAGUGAAUUUUUUAUACAGUUUUUCAUCAAAUGGUAAAUUGGAAAAAGAUGAGUUAUAAGGUACUUUUGAGUCCGAACAAAAAUAUGUAGGAAACAUUUAUAUGUACCACAACUCUUCCUAUAAGUUUACAAAGAAUAUGUUAUUAUUAUUUUUGAAAUUGUUAGAAACAUUACCCUGAAUAUUAACCAGACUGGCUCUCUCUUUUUCUGCCUGUAAAAUGAGGGAGUUAGAGGAGGUUUUUAGGCUCAACAAGUGGAGCAAACCUUGGCAAUCACUGCAGCAGAAGCUCCCUCAACUUAUGUAUCCAGUGGUGACUUAGAGUCAGCAGGACAUUAGUGGUGGCAGGAAUUCCUGAGCAUUAAUGAAUGACAUCAUUGCAGCCGGGGAGGAGUGACCAGCCAUUGUGUGGAUGUAGUGGGAAGA